GUGAGGAAUAUUGGUCAAUGGCCGAGAGGCUGAACCAGCCAUGCCGCGUGCGGGAUGACGGCCCUAUGGGUUGUAAACCGCUUUUUUGAGGGAGCAAUAAGGCCCACGUGUGGGCUGAUGAGAGUACCUUGAGAAUAAGCAUCGGCUAACUCCGUGCCAGCAGCCGCGGUAAUACGGAGGAUGCGAGCGUUAUCCGGAUUUAUUGGGUUUAAAGGGUGCGUAGGCGGACGAUUAAGCGUGAGGUGAAAUGCCCGGGCUCAACCUGGGAACUGCCUCGCGAACUGGUUGUCUGGAAUGCUCCUGCCGUGGGAGGAAUGUGUGGUGUAGCGGUGAAAUGCAUAGAGAUCACACAGAACACCGAUUGCGAAGGCAUCUCACGAAGGGGUGAUUGACGCUGAGGCACGAAAGCGUGGGGAUCAAACAGGAUUAGAAACCCUAGUAGUCC
rnacentral:rRNA from 1 species